GGGCGUGUAGCUCAGGUGGUUAGAGCGCACGCCUGAUAAGCGUCAGGUCGGUGGUUCGAGUCCAUUCGUGCCCAUCA
rnacentral:tRNA from 1 species